GAUGAACGCUGGCGGCGUGCCUAAUACAUGCCAGUCGAGCGAACAGACGAGGAGCCUGCUCCUCUGACGUUAGCGGCGGACGGGUGAGUAACACGUGGAUAACCUACCUAUAAGACUUGGAUAACUUCGGGAAGCCGGAGCUAAUACCGGAUAAUAUAUUGAACCGCAUGGUUCAAUAGUGAAAGACGGUUUUGCUGUCACUUAUAGAUGGAUCCGCGCCGCAUUAGCUAGUUGGUAAGGUAACGGCUUACCCAGGCAACGAUGCGUAGCCGACCUGAGAGGGUGAUCGGCCACACUGGAACUGAGACACGGUCCAGACUCCUACGGGAGGCAGCAGUAGGGAAUCUUCCGCAAUGGGCGAAAGCUUGACGGAGCAACGCCGCGUGAGUGAUGAAGGUCUUCGGAUCGUAAAACUCUGUUAUUAGGGAAGAACAAAUGUGUAAGUAACUAUGCACGUCUUGACGGUACCUAAUCAGAAAGCAACGGCUAACUACGUG
rnacentral:rRNA from 1 species